rnacentral:rRNA from 1 species
UUCGGCUGGGUCUYGCACAGGUGCUGCAUGGCUGUCGUCAGCUCGUGUCGUGAGAUGUUGGGUUAAGUCCCGCAACGAGCGUAACCCUCACCCUUAGUUGCCAGCGGGUAAUGCCGGGGACUUUAAGGGAACUGCCAGUGGUAAGCUGGAGGAAGGUGGGGAUGAUGUCAAGUCAGCAUGGCCCUUAUGGGGUGGGSUACACACGUGCUACAAUGGUGACUACAAUAGGUUGCAAUGYCGCAAGGCUGAGCUAAUC